GGGUCGUUAGCUCAGUUGGUAGAGCAGCGGACUCUUAAUCCGUAGGUCGAAAGUUCGAGCCUUUCACGACCCACCA
rnacentral:tRNA from 3 species